GAAAAUACAAAGCUUUCCUGUGAAGCGCUCUGGGACUGAAUUUCCUCCUUGGCACGGAGGCUGGGAUACGCUGAUGAAAUGUCAGCCAAGAGAUGAUGGCAGCCCAUUUAAAAUGUCGGAUCCUUAUCUUCAUUGUGAUAGUUAACCAGGUUAAAAACCACUUGGAAUCUGGACUUCACAGGAGGACCUCCAUGGGUGCACAACCCUGAUGCAGAAAUUUGAAGAAAAAAGAACACGGAUGAAAAUUGUGUAUUAGAACAAUUAUGCCUCUGGGUGAAUGCAUUACUCAAAAACACCAGCUACUUCAGUUUUUUGUGGAAAAUGCAUUUAAAACAACACAGAAUGAGUGCAAGCCCCUGAAAAAUAUAGGCUUGUUGCUACUUUCAUACUUAAAGCCAGAAUCUUCUUUAUGUCCAGCUGUAGAAACAGUAGAUUUAUUUAUAUAGACUCAAGAUUUAUUUUCACGAUUGGCUGAAACAAUGAUGAUCGAAAAUGC
rnacentral:lncRNA from 1 species